GACGAACGCUGGCGGCGUGCUUAACACAUGCAAGUCGAGCGGUAAGGCCCUUUCGGGGGUACGACGAGCGGCGAACGGGUGAGUAACACGUGGGUGACCUGCCCUCAGCUCUGGGAGUAAGCCUGGGAAACCGGGUCUAAUACCGGAUAUGACUCCAUGACGCAUGUUGUGGGGUGGGAAAGCCUUGUGCGGCUGAGGAUGGGCCCGCGGCCUAUCAGCUUGUUGGUGGGGUGGAUGGCCUACCAAGGCGACGACGGGUAGCCGGCCUGAGAGGGCGACCGGCCACACUGGGACUGAGACACGGCCCAGACUCCUACGGGAGGCAGCAGUGGGGAAUCUUGCGCAAUGGGCGAAAGCCUGACGCAGCGACGCCGCGUGAGGGAUGACGGCCU
rnacentral:rRNA from 1 species